rnacentral:rRNA from 1 species
AGAGUUUGAUCCUGGCUCAGGAUGAACGCUAGCUACAGGCUUAACACAUGCAAGUCGAGGGGCAGCAUGGUCUUAGCUUGCUAAGGCCGAUGGCGACCGGCGCACGGGUGAGUAACGCGUAUCCAACCUGCCUUACACUCCUGGACAGCCUUCUGAAAGGGAGAUUAAUACAAGAUGUUAUCAUGAGUAAGCAUUUUCGCAUGAUUAAAGGUUUACCGGUGUAAGAUGGGGAUGCGUUCCAUUAGAUAGUAGGCGGGGUAACGGCCCACCUAGUCUUCGAUGGAUAGGGGUUCUGAGAGGAAGGUCCCCCACAUUGGAACUGAGACACGGUCCAAACUCCUACGGGAGGCAGCAGUGAGGAAUAUUGGUCAAUGGACGAGAGUCUGAACCAGCCAAGUAGCGUGAAGGAUGAAGGUUCUAUGGAUUGUAAACUUCUUUUAUACGGGAAUAAACGAAUCCACGUGUGGAUUUUUGCAUGUACCGUAUGAAUAAGGAUCGGCUAACUCCGUGCCAGCAGCCGCGGUAAUACGGAGGAUCCGAGCGUUAUCCGGAUUUAUUGGGUUUAAAGGGAGCGUAGAUGGGUUGUUAAGUCAGUUGUGAAAGUUUGCGGCUCAACCGUAAAAUUGCAAUUGAUACUGGCAGUCUUGAGUACAGUUGAGGUAGGCGGAAUUCGUGGUGUAGCGGUGAAAUGCUUAGAUAUCACGAAGAACUCCGAUUGCGAAGGCAGCUUACUAACCUGUAACUGACAUUGAUGCUCGAAAGUGUGGGUAUCAAACAGGAUUAGAUACCCUGGUAGUCCACACGGUAAACGAUGAAUACUCGCUGUAGGCGAUAUACAGUCUGCGGCCAAGCGAAAGCAUUAAGUAUUCCACCUGGGGAGUACGCCGGCAACGGUGAAACUCAAAGGAAUUGACGGGGGCCCGCACAAGCGGAGGAACAUGUGGUUUAAUUCGAUGAUACGCGAGGAACCUUACCCGGGCUUAAAUUGCAACCGAAUAUGGCGGAAACGCUAUAGCUAGCAAUAGCGGUUGUGAAGGUGCUGCAUGGUUGUCGUCAGCUCGUGCCGUGAGGUGUCGGCUUAAGUGCCAUAACGAGCGCAACCCUUGCCGAUAGUUACUAACAGGUUAUGCUGAGGACUCUGUCGGGACUGCCAUCGUAAGAUGUGAGGAAGGUGGGGAUGACGUCAAAUCAGCACGGCCCUUACGUCCGGGGCUACACACGUGUUACAAUGGGGGGUACAGAGGGCUGCUACCACGCAAGUGGAUGCCAAUCCCAAAAACCUCUCUCAGUUCGGAUUGAAGUCUGCAACCCGACUUCAUGAAGCUGGAUUCGCUAGUAAUCGCGCAUCAGCCACGGCGCGGUGAAUACGUUCCCGGGCCUUGCACUCACCGCCCGUCAAG